UCCUACGGGGGGCAGCAGUAGGGAAUCUUCCACAAUGGACGAAAGUUUGAUGGAGCAACGCCGCGUGAGUGAAGUAGGGUUUCGGCUCGUAAAGCUCUGUUGGUAGAGAAGAAAGAUAGAGGGAGUAACUGGUCUUUUUUUGACGGUAAUUACUUAGAAAGUCACGGCUAACUACGUGCCAGCAGCCGCGGUAAUACGUAGGUGGCAAGCGUUAUCCGGAUUUAUUGGGCGUAAAGCGAGUGCAGGCGGUCUUAUAAGUCUGAUUUGAAAGCCUUCGGCUGCACCGGGGGAUU
rnacentral:rRNA from 1 species